AUUGAACGCUGGCGGCAGGCCUAACACAUGCAAGUCGGACGGUAGCACAGAGAGCUUGCUCUUGGGUGACGAGUGGCGGACGGGUGAGUAAUGUCUGGGGAUCUGCCCGAUAGAGGGGGAUAACCACUGGAAACGGUGGCUAAUACCGCAUAACGUCGCAAGACCAAAGAGGGGGACCUUCGGCCCUCUCACUAUCGGAUGAACCCAGAUGGGAUUAGCUAGUAGGCGGGGUAAUGGCCCACCUAGGCGACGAUCCCUAGCUGGUCUGAGAGGAUGACCAGCCACACUGGAACUGAGACACGGUCCAGACUCCUACGGGAGGCAGCAGUGGGGAAUAUUGCACAAUGGGCGCAAGCCUGAUGCAGCCAUGCCGCGUGUAUGAAGAAGGCCUUCGGGUUGUAAAGUACUUUCAGCGGGGAGGAAGGCGGCAAGGUCAAUAACCUUGCCGAUUGACGUUACCCGCAGAAGAAGCACCGGCUAACUCCGUGCCAGCCGCCGCAGUAA
rnacentral:rRNA from 1 species